rnacentral:rRNA from 1 species
CCAGACUCCUACGGGAGGCAGCAGUGGGGAAUAUUGCACAAUGGGCGCAAGCCUGAUGCAGCCAUGCCGCGUGUAUGAAGAAGGCCUUCGGGUUGUAAAGUACUUUCAGUCGGGAGGAAGGUGUCAAGGUUAAUAACCUUGGCAAUUGACGUUACCGACAGAAGAAGCACCGGCUAACUCCGUGCCAGCAGCCGCGGUAAUACGGAGGGUGCAAGCGUUAAUCGGAAUUACUGGGCGUAAAGCGCACGCAGGCGGUCUGUCAAGUCGGAUGUGAAAUCCCCGGGCUCAACCUGGGAAUUGCAUUCGAAACUGGCAGGCUGGAGUCUUGUAGAGGGGGGUAGAAUUCCAGGUGUAGCGGUGAAAUGCGUAGAGAUCUGGAGGAAUACCGGUGGCGAAGGCGGCCCCCUGGACAAAGACUGACGCUCAGGUGCGAAAGCGUGGGGAGCAAGCAGGAUUAGAUACCCCGGUA